rnacentral:lncRNA from 1 species
CUACACUCUACAAUCACACGGCUGCUUAUGACCAUAAACAAUUACAACCUAGACAUUAACCAUAACUAGAGUCUUUCAAAAUCAUCGUAAACAGUACUUGGGGCAUUAACUCAGUGUUACACUCUUACUUUCAAGCGAGAGAUUAGGUCUUCUGGUCUUGAGUUAUCCCUCAGAACUUUGAUCCCACCCCUCCUAAAAAGGCUUUUUCCGGAGUACAAAUCAACCUCGUAGGGUGGUAGUGGGAUGGGUGUAGCCUCCCAGAUUCCCGUUCACCUUCUCCAUUUCUGUUUCCAUAAGAAGCC